rnacentral:rRNA from 1 species
AACGAACGCUGGCGGCAGGCCUAACACAUGCAAGUCGAGCGAGGACUUCGGUCCUAGCGGCGGACGGGUGGGUAACGCGUGGGAACGUGCCCUUUGGUACGGAAUAGCCCCGGGAAACUGGGAGUAAUACCGUAUGGUGUCUUCGGACUAAAGAUUUAUCGCCAAAGGAUCGGCCCGCGUUGGAUUAGGUAGUUGGUGGGGUAAUGGCCUACCAAGCCGACGAUCUAUAGCUGGUUUGAGAGGAUGAUCAGCCACACUGGGACUGAGACACGGCCCAGACUCCUACGGGAGGCAGCAGUGGGGAAUCUUAGACAAUGGGGGCAACCCUGAUCUAGCCAUGCCGCGUGAGUGAUGAAGGCCCUAGGGUUGUAAAGCUCUUUCAGCUGGGAAGAUAAUGACGGUACCAGCAGAAGAAGCCCCGGNUAACUCCGUGCCAGCAGCCGCGG